rnacentral:rRNA from 1 species
UACGUAGGGGGCUAGCGUUGUCCGGAAUCAUUGGGCGUAAAGAGCGUGUAGGCGGCCCGGUAAGUCCGCUGUGAAAGUCGGGGGCUCAACCCUCGAAUGCCGGUGGAUACUGUCGGGCUAGAGUGCGGAAGAGGCGAGUGGAUUCCUGGUGUAGCGGUGAAAUGCGCAGAUAUCAGGAGGAACACCGAUUGCGAAGGCAGCUCGCUGGGACGUAACUGACGCUGAGAACGCGAAAGCGUGGGGAGCAAACAGG